ACAUUUACCUAGCAGGGGCGCUACCAUGAUCAUGAAGGGGGUUUUCCAGAGUGAGACUUAUCCAUUGCACUCCAGAUGUGCUGACCCCUGCAGUUUCCCCAAAUGCAGGAAAUUCCAGAGAAAUUUGUAGUAGUGGGGGACACUGAGCUCUCCUG
ensembl:snRNA LOC120100200 U1 spliceosomal RNA